CUACGGGUUGCUCCAGUGGGGAAUAUUGGGCAAUGGGGGAAACCCUGACCCAGCAACGCCGCGUGAAGGAAGAAGGCUUUCGGGUUGUAAACUUCUUUGACGAGGGACGAAUAAAUGACGGUACCUCGAAAACAAGCCACGGCUAACUACGUGCCAGCAGCCGCGGUAAUACGUAGGUGGCAAGCGUUGUCCGGAUUUACUGGGUGUAAAGGGCGCGUAGGCGGGAGCGCAAGUCAGAUGUGAAAUCUGGGGGCUUAACCCUCAAACUGCAUUUGAAACUGUGUUUCUUGAGUGGUGGAGAGGCAGGCGGAAUUCCUAGUGUAGCGGUGAUAUGCGUAGAUAUUAGGAGGAACACCAGUGGCGAAGGCGGCCUGCUGGACAUUAACUGACGCUGAGGCGCGAAAGCGUGGGGAGCAAACAGGAUUAGAUACCCCAGUAGUC
rnacentral:rRNA from 1 species